rnacentral:rRNA from 1 species
GAUGAACGCUGGCGGCGUGCAUAACACAUUCAAGUCGAACGGAAUGUAGCAAUACAUUUAGUGGCGGACGGGUGAGUAACGCGUGAGUAACCUGCCUUCAAGUGGGGAACAACAGAUGGAAACGACUGCUAAUACCGACAUAACGCAACCGAAUCGCAUGUUUUAGUUGUCAAAGGGCUGCAAGGCUUGCUUGAAGAUGGACUCGCGUCCGAUUAGGUAGUUGGUGAGGCAACGGCUCACCAAGCCGACGAUCGGUAGCCGGACUGAGAGGUUGAACGGCCACAUUGGAACUGAGAUACGGUCCAGACUCCUACGGGAGGCAGCAGUGGGGAAUAUUGGGCAAUGGGCGAAAGCCUGACCCAGCGACGCCGCGUGAAGGAAGAAGGUCUUCGGAUUGUAAACUUUUGUUGUAAGAGACGAAACAAAUGACGGUACCUUACGAGGAAGCCACGGCUAACUACGUGCCAGCAGCCGCAGUAAUAC